GUACCAUAACCGACACAGGUGGGUAGGUAGAGUAUACUAAGGGGCGCGAGAUAACUCUCUCUAAGGAACUCGGCAAAAUGACUCCGUAACUUCGGGAGAAGGAGUGCCUUAUUUAUAAGGUUGCAAUAACAAGAUCCAAGCAACUGUUUACCAAAAACACAGGUCUCCGCUAAGUCGUAAGACGAUGUAUGGGGGCUGACGCCUGCCCAGUGCCAGAAGGUUAAAGAAGUUGGUUAGCCUAGCGAAGCUGAUGACUGAAGCCCUGGUGAACGGCGGCCGUAACGAUAACGGUCCUAAGGUAGCGAAAUUCCUUGUCGGGUAAGUUCCGACCCGCACGAAAGGCGUAAUGAUUUGGAUACUGUCUCGGAGAGGGGCUCGGUGAAAUAGACUUGUCUGUGAAGAUGCGGACUACCUGCACCUGGACAGAAAGACCCUAUGAAGCUUUACUGUAACUUGAGAUUGAAAUUGGACUUUAUUUGCGCAGUAUAGGUGGGAGACGUUGAGAAUAUUCUUGCGGGAAUAUUGGAGUCAUCAGUGAGAUACCACUCUUGUAAUGUUAGAUUUCUAACUUUGUAUCAUUAUCUGGUCAAAGGACAGUUUCAGGCGGGCAGUUUGACUGGGGCGGUCGCCUCCCAAACGGUAACGGAGGCGCACAAAGGUUUCCUCUGAACGUGUAGAAAUCGUAUCUAGAGUGUAAAGGCAUAAGGAAGCUUGACUGUGAGACCUACAAGUCGAGCAGGGACGAAAGUCGGUCUUAGUGAUCUGACGGUGCUGAGUGGAAAGGCCGUCACUCAACGGAUAAAAGUUACUCUAAGGAUAACAGGCUGAUCUCCCCCAAGAGUUCACAUCGACGGGGAGGUUUGGCACCUCGAUGUCGGCUCAUCGCAUCCUGGGGCGGUAGUACGUCCCAAGGGUUGGGCUGUUCGCCCAUGAAAGCGGUACGCGAGCUGGGUUCAGAACGUCGUGAGACAGUUCGGUCCAUAUCCGGUGUAGGCGUUAGAAUAUUGAGAGGAGCCUUCUUUAGUACGAGAGGACCGAGAAGGACAUACCUCUGGUGUACCAGUUAUCGUGCCAACGGUAAACGCUGGGUAGCUAUGUAUGGAGUGGAUAACCGCUGAAAGCAUCUAAGUGGGAAGCCCACCUCAAGAUAAGUAUUCUCAUCACGUAAGUGAGUAAGGUCACGGUAAGACUAACCGUUUAAUAGGCAUCAAGUGUAAAUGUAGUAAUAUAUGAGCUGAGAUGUGCUAACAGACCGAGGACUUGA
rnacentral:rRNA from 1 species